GCUGACGGUAGCUCAGAUGGUAGAGCACCUGCCCGAAAGGGCGCUCCGGUUCCGCUUUUGCCCGCAAGGGCCGCUGGUAUCCGGUUCUCUUCACUAAAGAGGUGGUCGCUGGUUCAAAUCCAGCCCGUCAGCC
rnacentral:tRNA from 1 species